CAAUAGCGUAUACUAAAGUUGUUGCGAUUAAAAAGCUCGUAGUUGGAUCUCAGGCAUGGGCGCACGGUCCGCCUCGCGGCGGUCACUGUGUGUUUUGUUUCCCAUCCUACGCUUCCCGGUUAUCAGCCCAUGGUGCUCUUCACUGAGCGUUUUGGGCGGCCGGAACGUUUACUUUGAAGAAAUUAGAGUGUUCAAAGCAGGCACGUCGCCUGAAUAAUGGUGCAUGGAAUAAUGGAAUAGGACCUCGGUUCUAUUUUGCUGGUUUUCGGAACACGAGGUAAUGAUUAAGAGGGACAGACGGGGGCAUCCGUAUUGCGGUGUUAGAGGUGAAAUUCUUGGAUCAUCGCAAGACGAACAACUGCGAAAGCAUUUGCCAAGCAUGUUUUCAUUAG
rnacentral:rRNA from 1 species